CACGUAGGGUGCGAGCGUUGUCCGGAAUUAUUGGGCGUAAAGAGCUCGUAGGCGGUGUGUCGCGUCGGCCGUGAAAACCUGCAGCUUAACUGUGGGCUUGCGGUCGAUACGGGCAUCACUGGAGUUCGGCAGGGGAGACUGGAAUUCCUGGUGUAGCGGUGGAAUGCGCAGAUAUCAGGAGGGAACACCGGUGGGCGAAGGCGGGU
rnacentral:rRNA from 1 species